UACAGAGGGUGCGAGCGUUAAUCGGAAUUACUGGGCGUAAAGCGUGCGCAGGCGGUUUGUUAAGUCUGUUGUGAAAUCCCCGAGCUCAACUUGGGAAUUGCAAUGGAUACUGGCAGGCUGGAGUAUGGUAGAGGAAGGUGGAAUUCCCGGUGUAGCAGUGAAAUGCGUAGAGAUCGGGAGGAACACCAGUGGCGAAGGCGGCCUCUGGACAAUACUGACACUCAGGUGCGACAGCGUGGGGAGCAAACAGG
rnacentral:rRNA from 1 species